rnacentral:rRNA from 1 species
UACGUAGGGGGCGAGCGUUGUCCGGAUUUAUUGGGCGUAAAACGCUUGUAGGUGGCUACGUCAAGUCGGACGUGAAAUCUCCCGGCUUAACUGGGAGGGGUCGCUCGAUACUGGCGAGCUCGAGGCAGGUAGGGGGAAGCGGAAUUCCCGGUGUAGUGGUGGAAUGCGUAGAGAUCCGGAGGAACACCAGCGGCGAAGGCGGCAUCCUGGACUGGUCCUGACACUCAGGAGCGAAAGCGUGGGGAGCGAUCCGG